GCAAAAGCUGAGUGUAUGAGGACUAUAACACGUCUAUGAAAUUGCAAGUAUUUUUGUGCAGCUGAAGUACUAAGUGCAAGUGGAGAAGUGGCCAAAAGUGAGACUGAAGAGGAAAGCAGAUAAGCAGAUUGUAUGGCCAUGACAUAGAUCUUCACAUUCCAAUAAAAGCCAAAGGGAGUGACUACAGGAGUUUCAGCAGAGGUGACCUGAUCCCCUUUGGUCUGAAGAAAAAUCAGUGUGAUGCCAGCAUGGAGAAUGGAUGAAGGGGGGCGCGGGUAGCCUGGAAGCAGGAAGACUUCUUGGAACAAUACGUCUACAGCCUAUUAGGUAUAGCAAUAGCCCGCAACAGGGGAAGAACGCUCAGACUGAGGCAGUGGUGGCAGCGGCCAGAGGGGACAGAUGGGACCAGCACAGCAAGGGUCUGGAGGCAGAAUGACCGUAAGCGGCAGGUUGGUUCACCCCUGCACAUCCACCCACCCCUCUCCCCCAUCCCUUGAAGCUUUCUCUUGGGAAUGCCCCCCAGACAACCCUCCUCCACUCUCACAGCUCAGUUCAGGCAGAAGCAGCUCUUUGCUCAGUGCUCCUGGAGCACUUUGGAUGUACGUUUUUUCAUAGCACUUCACACCCCCUUACAACUGCCCUGUGUCUGUCUCCCAUAGAAGCCGAGCUCUCCGAAAGCAGAACUUUAUGUUACAUCUUUAUGUCAGAAGUUCACCUUUAAGUCUCUCAAAGAGUAUCUGGCCCGAAAUAGGUAGUUAGCACGUGUUUGUUGAAUAAACAGCCUAACCUAUGACCUUGCCGUCUCUGAGGAAAUGACAAACACCCAACCACCCUUAUAAGGGACAGAACUUCCCAGGGGCAGACAGCAGCUGAUCUGCACAGUGGCGGCCAGGGGACCAGCACACCACAGAGUCACCCCGUGAAGCCAUGCUGUGGACCUGUCGUCUCAUCUAUCUCGCCAUCUUCUGCGCAGGGGUCUCUUUGGAUGUCAUUUUGGAACCAGAGACCAAAACUCUGACUGUUCUCCUUGGGGAGCCUGUCACCUUCCGUUGCAACGUAACUGGAGGGGACUUGAAGAACUAUCAGGGGAGCUGGUAUAAGAAGAAUGAAGAUCACUCCCUGACUUUAGUAUACAGACUAAAUAGUUCUAAUGAAAAUGUAAGAAGUCAUUUCAAAGGGAAAAUAGAUACCUUAAAAAGUCAAUACAUCCUCGACAUUGAAAAAGCAACAACAAAAGACGCUGGGACUUACCACUGUGCUUCUGACACCCACAGCGCUGCAGUCCUGUUUCUGACUGCCUUAAAUCCCCCCAGUCAAAGGGGAAGUGGCAGAUCCAACUAGAGCCCACCCAAAACGAGCACCACCCUUGAGGUGAGACCACUUGAUAAUCUCAACGGUAACAUCUGAUAAGAGCAUCAGGAGUUGAGUUGGGGCAAGGGCUUUAUCUUUGAGGUUGGUUGAGAGGGGCCUUUUUAUCAGCCAAAGAGGGCAGCAGAGAAGGCUGUUAGGUCUUUUGUGGGGGGAGACCAAGGAGACCCUGCUCCUGUCUCUCACAGACUCCUGAGAAAGACUGGGGAAAAAACCCCACAAAAACAAAAAACAAAAAACAGCCUUCAAUACUGACAAGGUCCUCUCAUUGUGGAGAGGCUGGGAUGAGCAGGAUUUCUCCUACAGGAAGUGCCAUAGUUGAUUUCAGAGUCUUUGUCAUGAAAGUGUUGGCGUAUGUAAACUAGAUAAAGCAAGGAUGGGUUUCCAUUGCCAACCUGAUCAAAAUUUUCAAAGUGAUCUGAGAGAGCUUUCACUCUUCGUCUGUGAUGAGGGAUGACUGGGGUCAUUUUCGGAAAUGCUCCCAUAACUAUUUCAAGGAUUGAAUGUUUUGUAUCUUGCCUUAGCGACAGAGGCGCUCUGGGGACCCACGGGGAUGGCAGAGAGGGAUACACGUGGGCUUCCUUUAUGUCAGUUGCCCAGAGAAAUUUUAGAAACAAAUACUUGGGGCAAUGUGGGAUUUCUGAGUUGGUCAUGAAUCAACUGAAUAAUAAUAAAAAAAAAAAGAUCCCCAAGUGCCACGUUGAAAUGGGGGAGCCAAAAGUGUCUGUGACUUCAGGGAGCCAAGCCCUGAGGCACCACUGAGCUGAAUGAUGGCAGGAGGGCUUAAAGACACAAACACUGACUAAUCAUCUGAGGGAGUGCUUUCAUCCUCUUGGCUUUAGUAGCCGACUCUUUGUUUUUUUGGCUCCAGUGUCUAUGUCUGGAAUCCUCCCUCCACAUUAGGCCAUUUGCAGCAACAUGAGUGGACCUAGAGAUUAUCAGACUAAAUGCAG